rnacentral:misc_RNA from 1 species
GAUGAAGAACGUAGCGAAAUGCGAUAAGUAGUGUGAAUUUCAGAAUUCAGUGAAUCAUCGAAUCUUUGAACGCACAUUGCGCCCCUUGGUAUCCCGAGGGGCAUGCCUGUUCGAGCGUCAUUUCACCACUCAAGCCUGGCUUGGUGUUGGGCGACGUCCUCUUUGGGGACGCGCCUCGAAACGCUCGGCGGCGUGGCACCGGCUUUAAGCGUAGCAGAAUCUUUCGCUUUGGAAGUCGGGGCCCCGUCUGCCGGAAGACCUGCUCGCAAGGUUGACCUCGGAUCAGGCAGGGAUACCCGCUGAACUUAAGCAUAUCAAUAAGCGGAGGA